AUGUGUGAGUGGACUGAUUUGGGAGUUCAUGCUGGUGUGGUAAAAACGCUGACUGCUGAUCCCUGCCGAUUAUUAAUGUGCAAGUCAGCGAGACACAAAAUCGUCAUCCUGUUGUCACCAUUACAGAUCUGCAGCCACAGGGUGUGUUUCUAUUUUAACUGGUUGCUUGAAUUUCAGCCAUAUGUGUGUGUGACACAUCACAUGUCCAUCAUCAAGGGAAGUCCUUCUGUUCAUAAAGGGUCCUGUCGCUGUGUUCUUCUUUGAGGAUGGAGUCCCCAUGGGUGCGUACGUGUGGAAACACUAACACCAUCCAUCCUAAAAUCCGGAAUCAAUACAAGUCAUCCACUCGAGUGACUGAGCUGUGACUGACUCAACCGAUGAUGAAUGAGCCGUCAGCACAACGCCUACUCCUCACCAGCUCUGUUAUUGUGACAUCUAACACAAUGAAGCAAUAAAUGUCAUUAGAUCUGAGGCAAAUGAAGCGUACUCUCACUGCAAACUGCUCAAGGGGAAAGGGCACCAUCCAAAUCCUGAUGCGAGCAGCCUGAUCUGAACUCAGUUUUGUUGCAUCAGUUUUCUUCUGCGCUCAUUAGGUCUCUAAAGUUCAUCCCAGACUAAUAUGCCGGUGAACUCUGUCUGCCAUCUAGUGUGGAGACCAUGAAAUGAUCUCCACAGCAUUACCAACAUUCUGCCAGUGUUAAAAAAAACACUGGCAGAAUGGCAGAAACACUCUUUGUAUUUGGGUACUGUACUUCUUUUUUACACUUCACACUUAAUUCACUAAAUUAUUUUUCUAGUACCUUAGGUGCAUUGGCAUUUAUUAGUCCUAAUCCUCUGAGCUCUAAGACAGGGGCGGGGAACUCCAGGCUUCGAGGGCUGGUGCCUUGCAGGUUUUACAUGUGUCCUUGAUCCAACACAGCUGAUUUAAAUGGCCAAAUUACCUCCUCAACAUGUCUUGAAGUUCUCCAAAGGCCUCAUAAUGAACUAAUCAUUUAAAUCAGGUUUG
rnacentral:lncRNA from 1 species